rnacentral:rRNA from 1 species
GAUGGGGAUGCGUUUCAUUAGAUUGUUGGUGAGGUAACGGCUCACCAAGUCUUCGAUGGAUAGGGGUUCUGAGAGGAAGGUCCCCCACACUGGUACUGAGACACGGUCCAGACUCCUACGGGAGGCAGCAGUGAGGAAUAUUGGUCAAUGGGCGUUAGCCUGAACCAGCCAAGUAGCGUGAAGGAUGACUGCCCUAUGGGUUGUAAACUUCUUUUAGAAGGGAAUAAUUUGUGGUACGUGUACCAUAUUGCAUGUACUUUCUGAAUAAGGAUCGGCUAACUCCGUGCCAGCAGCCGCGGUAAUACGGAGGAUUCUAGCGUUAUCCGGAUUUAUUGGGUUUAAAGGGUGCGUAGGCGGGCUUUUAAGUCAGCUGUGAAAGUUUGAGGCUCAACCUUAAAAUUGCAGUUGAUACUGUUAGUCUUGAGUACAGUGGAGGUUAGUGGAAUUCGUGGUGUAGCGGUGAAAUGCUUAGAUAUCACGAAGAACUCCGAUUGCGAAGGCAACUGACUAUACUGUAACUGACGCUGAUGCACGAGAGUGUGGGUAUCAAACAGGAUUAGAUACCCUGGUAGUCCACACAGUAAACGAUGAAUACUCGUUGUUUGCGAUACACCGCAAGCGACCAAGCGAAAGCGUUAAGUAUUCCACCUGGGGAGUACGCCGGCAACGGUGAAACUCAAAGGAAUUGACGGGGGCCCGCACAAGCGGAGGAACAUGUGGUUUAAUUCGAUGAUACGCGAGGAACCUUACCCGGGCUUAAAUUGCACUCGAAUAACGGUGAAAGUCGUUAGCCUUAAUGGCGAGUGUGAAGGUGCUGCAUGGUUGUCGUCAGCUCGUGCCGUGAGGUGUCGGCUUAAGUGCCAUAACGAGCGCAACCCUUACGGGUAGUUACCAUCAGGUUAUGCUGGGGACUCUACUCGGACUGCCGUCGUAAGAUGUGAGGAAGGUGGGGAUGACGUCAAAUCAGCACGGCCCUUACGUCCGGGGCUACACACGUGUUACAAUGGGGGGUACAGUUGGUUGCUACCUGGUGACAGGAUGCUAAUCUGUAAAGCCUCUCUCAGUUCGGAUCGAAGUCUGCAACCCGACUUCGUGAAGCUGGAUUCGCUAGUAAUCGCGCAUCAGCCACGGCGCGGUGAAUACGUUCCCGGGCCUUGUACACACCGCCCGUC